AGGCAGCUAACAGUGCUGAGCUUAAUUUAAAACGUGGGGAUAUUGUAUUGGUAAUUCCUUCUGAGACCACAGCUGCUCAGGUAAAAUGGAUGGCACUUAAGAGAACCAAUAAGAAAUCUUCCUUUUGAGUGAUUGUGCUGCUGAGGAUUUGGAUUGCAGUAUUGCAUGUCAAGAGCUGGCUUAGGCUGAAGUUUCCAGGAAUUUCUGAAAGAGGAGGCUGGCUGGUUGGCAGGCAUUAAGGAAUCUGAGUGGCUUCAGUACAGAGAUGCAAAGAGUUCUAAAGGACUUUUCCCGGAGAACUUCACACGCCAUCUGGAACAGCUCUUCUCACAGGCACAGAAUGUAGCAUGAAGCUCAGUCAGUAGGUUUUUAACCUCUUUGUAACACGGGAGCCCACUUUUUUGUAGUUCAGGCUGCUAAUGGUUUGCGGAUUGGUGCCAGACAAAGCUUGUUGAAGCAUAUCAAGAUGAGCAUGAGUGCAAACAAUUCAGCUAGCAAUUUCUGAAGCAGUGCGUGAAAAAAAAAAACAAAAUAAAACCAGAAAUGUCCUUAUUUGUUCACAUGUACGUGGCACCAGGUUUGUUUGUGCUUUGUCAGAGCUGUGGUGAUCCUGUAUUUGGUCCUUUCCCAUGAAAUCCCAAAUUAGGCUCCUGGGUACCAAAACCUGAACUUCUCUGCACUGAGUGUACUGUAUUGAGUUGCACUGCAGAAAAUUUAAUGAGUAAUCCUGUAGUAAUGAGGGCAAACUAUCCUAAGUUUCAUGUGUUUAAAAAAUGUAAUUAACUGCUGCAACGUUUUUCAGAGUUACUUUUGGACACGCAUAAUAUCUAUGCACAGGAAGUUGAAUGUGUACCUAUAAGUGCAUAUGGGUAUAUAUGCAUUUUAACAAUUUCACUUCAGUUCUUUGACUGUGUGGUGUCAUCAGGGCAUGCAUUGCUCUCUCACUGUCUGGCAUUACAGGAAACAUUUUGUUCCAAAGCAAAACUGGCUGCCAUUGCCAAAGCACUGAACAGUGUCCAUGUUAGCAAUGCGACAUUUUCGUUCUGAGAUGAUGAAUAACAUCGUUUUCAAAGCUGCUAAACCUUUGAGAAGGCAUGGCUCAGUUUCCUCUUCCAGCUGCAGUAGUUACAGUGAGAUAAUCUGGAAGGGGAACUGUUAUGAUGCUCAUCUGUACUUUUUUAUUUAAUUGGCUGAAUAAUAAUUAAAAAAAAAACACAACAAAAUUAAUCUCUGAGAAAUAAGCAUAACAUAUUUUCACAAUAGGUAUUUAUGCAGCAUACCUUCACAAAUCCUUUUAAAUUAAGAUAUAUAAUGUAUCCUGUAUCAAAAAGUCAUCUGUAACUUCUGUUUUCCAGUGCUGUGUCAUUAGAAAUAAACCUUUGAUCCAAA